AAACAACAACACAAAAACAAUUCAGGAUUGAGAGAGGAGUGGGGAUCGAGACGAGAUCUGAUGCCACAAUAUUACUUGUUAUUGAGUUUUCUCGCCUAUUUGAAUUCGACGAAUAAAUCGAGAAAAUGAGGCUUUCAAAGACCAAGAACUGAGGAAUCGAGAUAGAAGACGUUGGCAAACUGUGCCGGCGGAAUCUUCGACUCAGUAUGCGUACCAAUGAUUUACCUGGUUGAAGUUUUGAUUGUUAUGUGGUAUUCUUAUCGUUGUUAUGGCCCCUGUUAUUAGUAAAAGAGUUGGAUUGAUGAGAUAUGGUGUCAUGCUUUUUAGCUUAGCCUAUCUAUGUCUUUCAAUUGCCACAGCCAUCUAUAUAUUGGUGUUGCAGAGGAGCUUCACAGUAACUACCAUAGCCAUCUACUGUUAUGCCCAAGUUUGUGCUAACUGGCGAGCAAUGUUUGUCAACUCUAAUAAGGACUAUGGAGUACAAUUAGAAGAAGGUUUGGAGCAAGAUCCCCAGAAUUUUUGUCCAGAGUGCAAUAUCUUCAAGAACAAGAAAUCCCAUCAUUGCCCUUUGUGUGAAUGCUGUGUUUUGCGGCACGACCACCAUUGUUUCUUUUUAGGUACCU